AUGACCCCAACUAAGCAAGUCAGAGGCGACAGCGGCAAGGAACCAAAAACUCCAUCGGUGACAGAAUGGAGAAAAAAAUCAGGCUCAGUCGGGGGGUUGGGACAGUUCUCCUCUGACCAGACAAAACCAGCAGUUCAAUUCCAGGCUGCAGCAAAGUCAGACUGUGUUUGUUUUUUGUUUGUUUUUAACCAUAUAUUAGAUAUCAUAACAGCAAAAAAAGUACUAAUGAAAUAUAUCCGAUUUAUUAGUUGCUUUAUAAUAAAUAAAUCAAAUUGCACAUUUUGCAUUACCAUCAAUCCAGAAAGAUCUUUUUUGGGCCUGUAUUGUGAAGAAGAUCUCUGUUUCUCUGUGGGAAUAGUGCACAGGCUCAUGGGAACACAGCGUUGAGUAUUUAGACAUCAUGAUUCGUAUAAAGUUUUCAUUCCACUCUAACGCGUAAGACCAACCAUUAUAAUAGCAAAACAAAGUAUAGUAAAAUAAGUUGUAUAGAUUUCUAUCCAUCAACAUAUUGGGAGAGCACGGAUUAUUGAAUAUCUCUUCACAACCGCUUCACAUCACUGUUUAACAAAGAGGACAUUUAAAAAGGAAUUAUUCAGCUAAUACUGUCAAAUGUAUCGUACUGUAGUAUAGCCUACUGUAUUGGAUUGAUCAACAUGAAGAAUCUUUCUGCUCAAAAUAUUUUAUUCACAGACUUCAAACUGAAUGGUUUCUACAGUCUAGGGGAAUGGAGGCCUUUUUUAUUUAUCCCCUUCUUUUUGAUGUUUUUAUUGUCCAUCACUGCAAAUUCUAUUCUUUUAUAUUUAAUCAUAGGUCAAAAGUCUCUGCAUUCUCCCAUGUAUGUACUAAUAGGUUUAAUGGCUGUUGUAGACUUAAUCUUACCUAUAUUUUUUGUACCCAACAUGCUUGUUAGCUUUCUAUUCAACUGAGGUGGGAUAUCCCUAGUUGGUUGUUUGAUACAAAUGUUUUCAAUCAAUCAAUCACCUUUAUUUAUAUAGUGCUUUAAACAAAAUACAUUGCGUCAAAGCACUGAACAACAUUCAUUUGGAAAACAGUGUCUCAAUAAUGCAAAAUGAUAGUUAAAGGCAUUGAAUUCAGUUAUGUCAUCUCUGUUCAGUUUAAAUAGUGUCUGUGCAUUUAUUUGCAAUCAAGUCAACGAUAUCGCUGUAGAUGAAGUGACCCCAACUAAGCAAGCCAGAGGCGACAGCGGCAAGGAACCGAAACUCCAUCGGUGACAGAAUGGAGAAAAAAAACCUUGGGAGAAACCAGCCUCAGUUGGGGGGCCAGUUCUACUCUGACCAGACGAAACCAGUAGUUCAAUUCCAGGCUGCAGCAAAGUCAGAUUGUGCAGAAGAAUCAUCUGUUUCCUGUGGUCUUGUCCUGGUGCUCCUCUGAGACAAGGUCUUUACAGGGGAUCUGUAUCUAGGGCUCUAGUUGUCCUGAUCUCCGCUAUCUUUCAGGGCAGUAGAGGUCCUUUCUAGGUGCUGAUCCACCAUCUGGUCUGGAUACGUACUGGAUCCGGGCGACUGCAGUGACCCUCUGAUCUGGAUACAGACUGGAUCUGGUGGAAAGUAAUGAUGUAGAAAGUACGGUGUUAUGUGAAGUGUUUCCGGUUCCAGUUUACCUAAUUAAUGCAGCCUAAAAAUCCUUUAACGGAUUUGGAUAUUAAAAGCAUAUUAGUAUGUUAUGUGUAUGCCAGGUUAAAGAGAUGGGUCUUUAAUCUAGAUUUAAACUGCAAGAGUGUGUCUGCUUCCCGAACAAUGUUAGGUAGGUUAUUCCAGAGUUUAGGCGCCAAAUAGGAAAAGGAUCUGCUGCCCGCAGUUGAUUUUGAUAUUCUAGGUAUUAUCAAAUUGCCUGAGUUUUGAGAACGUAGCGGACGUAGAGGAGUAUAAUGUAAAAGGAGCUCAUUCAAAUACUGAGGUGUAAACCAUUCAGGGCUUUAUAAGUAAUAAGCAAUAUUUUAAAAUCUAUACGAUGUUUGAUAGGGAGCCAGUGCAGUGUGGACAGGAACGGGCUAAUAUGGUCAUACUUCCUGGUUCUAGUAAGAACUCUUGCUGCUGCAUUUUGGACUAGCUGUAGUUUGUUUACCAAGCGUGCAGAACAACCACCCAAUUAAGCAUUACAAUAGUCUAACCUUGAAGUCAUAAAUGCAUGGAUUAACAUUUCUGCAUUUGACAUUGAGAGCAUAGGCCGUAAUUUAGAUAUAUUUUUGAGAUGGAAAAAUGCAGUUUUACAAAUGCUAGAAACGUGGCUUUCUAAGGAAAGAUUGCGAUCAAGUACCACACCUAGGUUCCUAACUGAUGACGAAGAAUUGACAGAGCAACCAUCAAGUCUUAGACAGUGUUCUAGGUUAUUACAAGCAGAGUUUUUAGGCCCUAUGAUUAACAUCUCUGUUUUUUCUGAAUUUAGCAGUAAGAAAUUACUCGUCAUCCAAUUUUUUAUAUCGACUAUGCAUUCCAUUAGUUUUUCAAAUUGGUGUGUUUCACCGGGCUGCGAGGAAAUAUAGAGCUGAGUAUCAUCAGCAUAACAGUGAAAGCUAACACCAUGUUUCCUGAUGAUAUCUCCCAAGGGUAACAUAUAAAGCGUGAAGAGUAGCGGCCCUAGUACUGAGCCUUGAGGUACUCCAUACUGCACUUGUGAUCGAUAUGAUACAUCUUCAUUCACUGCUACGAACUGAUGGCGGUCAUAUAAGUACGAUUUAAACCAUGCUAAUGCACUUCCACUGAUGCCAACAAAGUGUUCAAGUCUAUGCAAAAGAAUGUUGUGGUCAAUUGGGUCAAACGCAUCACUAAGAUCCAAUAAAACUAAUAG
ensembl:lncRNA